rnacentral:misc_RNA from 1 species
AAUGUCUUGUUGAUGUUAUUGCCUGCUCAACUCAUCCCGAAAGAGAAAAACUUGAUAUUUAUAUCACAUGAAAAAUGUAGCCCUUAUCACAAACACUGUUUUCAUCUCUAUCUCUUAAAGUUAUUAGGUUCCUGUUUAGUUUGUUUUCAUAUACCUUCAUCUUCUGCUUUCUUUCUCUUCAAUGCUUACUACCCACAUUUCAAAAUUUUAAUUUUAGCGUAAAAUCAAGAACUCCUUUCUAAUCUCUUUUAUUUGGAUUUCAAAUUCUAUGCAGUUUUCUAGUUAUAUGAGAUUUGUGUUUGUUCUUGGCUAUUAAGCUAUAUCCAUUUUAGAUAUUAUAUUAAGUCCAUUAAGGUUGAUUUCAAGAUCAA